GGCCACCGCUAUUGGAAUUCGAUUAAGGCAUGCGAGUCUAAGGGACUUCGGUCCCUGGCAUACGGCUCAGUAACACGUGGACAAUCUGCCCUAAGGUGGGGAAUAAUCUCGGGAAACUGAGCAUAAUGCCCCAUAGGUCAUGGAGGCUGGAAUGCACCGUGAUCCAAAUCCUCAGGGGCCUAAGGAUGGAUCUGCGGUCGAUUAGGUUGUUGCCGGGGUAACGUCCCGACAAGCCUAUGAUCGAUACGGGUUGUGGGAGCAAUAGCCCGGAGAUGGAUUCUGAGACACGAAUCCAGGCCCUACGGGGCGCAGCAGGCGCGAAAACUUUACACUGCACGCAAGUGCGAUAAGGGGACUCCGAGUGUCCGUACACAGUACGGACUGUCCAGAUGCCUAAAAAGCAUCCGUUAGCAAGGGCCGGGCAAGACCGGUGCCAGCCGCCGCGGUAACACCGGCGGCUCGAGUGGUGGUCGCUAUUAUUGGGUCUAAAGGGUCCGUAGCCGGUCCAGCCAGUCCUUUGGGAAAUCUGACGGCUUAACCGUCAGGCUGCUAAGGGAUACUGCUGGACUUGGGACCGGGAGAGGCUAGAGGUAUUUCAGGGGUAGGAGUGAAAUCCUGUGAUCCUUGAAGGACCACCGGUGGCGAAGGCGUCUAGCUAGAACGGCUCCGACGGUGAGGGACGAAAGCUAGGGGCACGAACGGGAUUAGAUACCCCGGUAGUCCUAGCCGUAAACGAUGCGAGCUAGGUGUCAGCCUUUUUGCGAGAGAGGCCGGUGCCGUAGGGAAGCCGUGAAGCUCGCCACCUGGGAAGUACGGUCGCAAGGCUGAAACUAUAUGAAGUGGACUUCAUGCGUUUGCUUCAUUAGCAGCAAACUUAAAGGAAUUGGCGGGGGAGCACUACAACGGGUGGAUGCUGCGGUUUAAUUGGAUUCAACGCCGGAAACCUUACCGGAGGCGACAGCAGAAUGAAGGUCAGGCUGAAGACCUUACCAGACUUGCUGAGAGGUGGUGCAUGGCCGUCGUCAGUUCGUAUCGUGAGACAUCCUGUUAAGUCAGGCAACGAGCGAGACCCGCGCCCAUAGUUGCCAGCAGAUCCGCUCUUCGGAGUGGAUGAUGGGUACACUAUGGGGACCGCUGGUGCUAAACCAGAGGAAGGAACGGGCAACGGUAGGUCAGUAUGCCCCGAAUCUUCCGGGAUACACGCGGCAUACAAUGGACGGGACAAUGGGAAUCGACCCUGAGAGGGGGAGGCAAUCUCCUAAACCCGUUCGAAGUUCGGAUUGAGGGCUGCAACUCGCCCUCAUGAAGCUGGAAUCCGUAGUAAUCGCGCUUCAACAUAGCGCGGUGAAUACGUCCCUGCUCCUUGCACACACCGCCCGUCAAACCAACCGAGUGAGGCCUGGAUGAGGCUGCUCUCUUUGGAGUGGUCGAAUCUGGGUUUUAUAAGGGGGGUUAAGUCGUAAC
rnacentral:rRNA from 1 species